rnacentral:rRNA from 1 species
AGUGAACGCUGGCGGUAGGCCUAACACAUGCAAGUCGAACGGCAGCACAGUAAGAGCUUGCUCUUACGGGUGGCGAGUGGCGGACGGGUGAGGAAUACAUCGGAAUCUACUUUUUCGUGGGGGAUAACGUAGGGAAACUUACGCUAAUACCGCAUACGACCUACGGGUGAAAGCAGGGGAUCUUCGGACCUUGCGCGAUUGAAUGAGCCGAUGUCGGAUUAGCUAGUUGGCGGGGUAAAGGCCCACCAAGGCGACGAUCCGUAGCUGGUCUGAGAGGAUGAUCGGCCACACUGGAACUGAGACACGGUCCAGACUCCUACGGGAGGCAGCAGUGGGGAAUAUUGGACAAUGGGCGCAAGCCUGAUCCAGCCAUACCGCGUGGGUGAAGAAGGCCUUCGGGUUGUAAAGCCCUUUUGUUGGGAAAGAAAAGCAGCAGGUUAAUACCCCGCCGUUCUGACGGUACCCAAAGAAUAAGCACCGGCUAACUUCGU